UACAGAGGUCCCAAGCGUUGUUCGGAUUCAUUGGGCGUAAAGGGUGCGUAGGCGGCGCGGUAAGUCGGGUGUGAAAUCUCGGAGCUUAACUCCGAAACUGCAUUCGAUACUGCCGUGCUUGAGGACUGGAGAGGAGACUGGAAUUUACGGUGUAGCGGUGAAAUGCGUAGAUAUCGUAAGGAAGACCAGUGGCGAAGGCAGGUCUCUGGGCCAUAACUGACGCUGAGAAGCGAAAGCAUGGGGAGCGAACAGG
rnacentral:rRNA from 1 species